GGAAUUUUGGACAAUGGGCGCAAGCCUGAUCCAGCCAUUCCGCGUGCAGGAUGAAGGCCCUCGGGUUGUAAACUGCUUUUGUACGGAACGAAAAGGCGCGGGUUAAUACCCUGUGCUGAUGACGGUACCGUAAGAAUAAGCACCGGCUAACUACGUGCCAGCAGCCGCGGUAAUACGUAGGGUGCAAGCGUUAAUCGGAAUUACUGGGCGUAAAGCGUGCGCAGGCGGUUGUGUAAGACAGAUGUGAAAUCCCCGGGCUCAACCUGGGAACUGCAUUUGUGACUGCACGGCUGGAGUGCGGCAGAGGGGGAUGGAAUUCCGCGUGUAGCAGUGAAAUGCGUAGAUAUGCGGAGGAACACCGAUGGCGAAGGCAAUCCCCUGGGCCUGCACUGACGCUCAUGCACGAAAGCGUGGGGAGCAAA
rnacentral:rRNA from 1 species